rnacentral:rRNA from 1 species
UACGUAGGGUGCGAGCGUUGUCCGGAAUUACUGGGCGUAAAGCGUGCGCAGGCGGUUUGUUAAGCGAGAUGUGAAAGCCCCGGGCUCAACCUGGGAACGGCAUCCGGAACUGUCAGGCUAGAGUGCAGGAGAGGAAGGUAGAAUUCCCGGUGUAGCGGUGAAAUGCGUAGAGAUCGGGAGGAAUACCAGUGGCGAAGGCGGCCUUCUGGACUGACACUGACACUGAGGUGCGAAAGCGUGGGUAGCAAACAGG